rnacentral:rRNA from 1 species
AGAGUUUGAUCCUGGCUCAGGAUGAACGCUGGCGGCGUGCUUAACACAUGCAAGUCGAACGAUCCUUCGGGAUAGUGGCGGACGGGUGAGUAACGCGUGGGAAUCUGCCCUCAGGAGGGGGAUAACGGCUGGAAACGGCCGCUAAUACCCCAUAUGCCGAGAGGUGAAAUGAAUUUCGCCUGAGGAUGAGCCCGCGUCUGAUUAGCUAGUUGGUGGGGUAAAGGCCUACCAAGGCGACGAUCAGUAGCUGGUCUGAGAGGAUGAUCAGCCACACUGGGACUGAGACACGGCCCAGACUCCUACGGGAGGCAGCAGUGGGGAAUUUUCCGCAAUGGGCGAAAGCCUGACGGAGCAACGCCGCGUGAGGGAUGAAGGCCUCUGGGCUGUAAACCUCUUUUCUCAAGGAAGAAGAACUGACGGUACUUGAGGAAUAAGCCACGGCUAAUUCCGUGCCGGCAGCCGCGGUAAUACGGGAGUGGCAAGCGUUAUCCGGAAUUAUUGGGCGUAAAGCGUCCGCAGGCGGCCUUGUAAGUCUGUUGUUAAAGCGUGGAGCUCAACUCCAUUUAAGCAAUGGAAACUACAAGGCUGGAGUGUGGUAGGGGCAGAGGGAAUUCCCGGUGUAGCGGUGAAAUGCGUAGAUAUCGGGAAGAACACCAGUGGCGAAGGCGCUCUGCUGGGCCAUAACUGACGCUCAUGGACGAAAGCCAGGGGAGCGAAAGGGAUUAGAUACCCCUGUAGUCCUGGCCGUAAACGAUGAACACUAGGUGUCGGGGGAAUCGACCCCCUCGGUGUCGUAGCCAACGCGUUAAGUGUUCCGCCUGGGGAGUACGCACGCAAGUGUGAAACUCAAAGGAAUUGACGGGGGCCCGCACAAGCGGUGGAGUAUGUGGUUUAAUUCGAUGCAACGCGAAGAACCUUACCAGGGUUUGACAUCCUGCGAAUCCCUUGGAAACGAGGGAGUGCCUUCGGGAGCGCAGUGACAGGUGGUGCAUGGCUGUCGUCAGCUCGUGUCGUGAGAUGUUGGGUUAAGUCCCGCAACGAGCGCAACCCACGUCUUUAGUUGCCAGCAUUCAGUUGGGCACUCUAGAGAGACCGCCGGUGAUAAACCGGAGGAAGGUGUGGAUGACGUCAAGUCAUCAUGCCCCUUACAUCCUGGGCUACACACGUACUACAAUGCUACGGACAAAGGGCAGCAAGCUCGCGAGAGUUAGCAAAUCCCAUAAACCGUCGCUCAGUUCAGAUCGUAGGCUGCAACUCGCCUACGUGAAGGAGGAAUCGCUAGUAAUCGCAGGUCAGCAUACUGCGGUGAAUACGUUCCCGGGCCUUGUACACACCGCCCGUCACACCAUGGAAGUUGGCCAUGACCGAAGUCGUUACUCCAACCCUUGUGGAGGAGGACGCCGAAGGUGGGGCUGAUGACUGGGGUGAAGUCGUAACAAGGUA